rnacentral:misc_RNA from 1 species
GAAAUGCGAUAAUUAAUGUGAAUUGCAGAAUUCAGUGAAUCAUCGAGUCUUUGAACGCACAUUGCGCCCCCUGGUAUUCCGGGGGGCAUGCCUGUCCGAACGUCAUUGCUGCCCUCAAGCACGGCUUGUGUGUUGGGCUUCCGUCCCUGGCAACGGGGACGGGCCCAAAAGGCAGUGGCGGCACCAUGUCUGGUCCUCGAGCGUAUGGGGCUUUGUCACCCGCUCCCGUAGGUCCAGCUGGCAGCUAGCCUCGCAACCAAUCUUUUUAACCAGGUUGACCUCGGAUCAGGUAGGGAUACCCGCUGAACUUAAGC